rnacentral:rRNA from 1 species
AUAUCAAUAAGCGGAGGAAAAGAAACCAACAGGGAUUGCCCUAGUAACGGCGAGUGAAGCGGCAACAGCUCAAAUUUGAAAUCUGGCUCUCUUUGGGGGUCCGAGUUGUAAUUUGCAGAGGAUGCUUUGGCAUUGGCGGCGGUCUAAGUUCCUUGGAACAGGACAUCACAGAGGGUGAGAAUCCCGUACGUGGUCGCCUGCCUUUGCCGUGUAAAGCUCCUUCGACGAGUCGAGUUGUUUGGGAAUGCAGCUCUAAAUGGGAGGUAAAUUUCUUCUAAAGCUAAAUACUGGCCAGAGACCGAUAGCGCACAAGUAGAGUGAUCGAAAGAUGAAAAGUACUUUGGAAAGAGAGUCAAAAAGCACGUGAAAUUGUUGAAAGGGAAGCGCUUGCAGCCAGACUUGCCCGCAGUUGCUCACCUAGGCUUUGGCCUGGGGCACUCUUCUGCGGGCAGGCCAGCAUCAGUUUGGGCGGUUGGAUAAAGGCCUCUGUCACGUAUCUCCCUUCGGGGAGACCUUAUAGGGGAGGCGUAAUGCAACCAGCCUGGACUGAGGUCCGCGCAUCUGCUAGGAUGCUGGCGUAAUCGCUGUAAGCGG